AACUGCGAACGGCUCAUUAAAUCAGUUGCGAUCUACUCGGCGUUCCGCGCCGCCGGAUAACCGUAGUAAUUCUAGGGCUAAUACGUGCGAAGCGCCCGAAGCCGCGAGGCGACGGCGUUCUCGCCGGAUGUAGGAACCGACCCCGGGGGACCGCCCGGGGGCAACCCCGGGCGCCCCCCGAGACGGGGCGAACCACGGUGAAAUGACGGAUCGUCGGCCCCGCGCCGGCGACUCGCCGAAUGAGUUUCUGACCUAUCAACUCGAGACGGCGGGGUAGAGGCCCGCCGCGGUAACGACGGGUAACGGGGAAUCAGGGUUCGAUUCCGGAGAGGGAGCCCGAGAAACGGCUACCACUUCCAAGGAAGGCAGCAGGCGCGCAACUUACCCUAAUCUCGAUUCGAGGAGGUAGUGACAAGAAAUACCGAUGCGGGACCCUACGGGUGCCGCGUUCGGAAUGAGUAC
rnacentral:rRNA from 1 species